GAUUGAGGGUGGAUCAGGUAGAGGAGCAGGCGUGACUGCAGAGGGAGCUGAACCGACAUUUCUGAAAGAAGACGUACAAAUGACCAACAAGAGCUUGAAGGAAUGCUCAGCAUCAUUCAUCAUCAGGGACACGCAAGUCAAAACCACAAUGAGGUGUCCUCUCAUCCCACAGAAUGGCCAUUAUCAAAAAGGCAAAAAUAAAUCCUGCAGAGGAAGUGAAGAAAGGGAACUCGUAUGCUGUUAGUGGGAAGUUGUACAACCACUAAGGAAAACUGUAUGGAGAUUCCUCAAAAAGCUAAAAAUAGAGCUAACCCAGCAAUCCCACUAUGGGGUGUGUAUCCAAAGGAAAAGAAAUCAGUGUGUUGAAGAGAUAUCUGCACCCCAUGUUUAUCACAGCACUGCUCACGAUAGCCAUGAUAUGAAAGCACCUAAGUGCUUGUCAACAGAUGAAUGGAAAACAUGGAAAAGUAAUGAAAAGGAAAAGAUGGUGUAUACACACAAUGGAAUUCUAUUUAACCCUAGAGCAGAACAAAAUUCUGCCCUAUGUGACAAUACAGGUGAGCUUGGAGGACAUUAUGCUAAAUGAAAUAAGCCAGGCACAGAAAGAUGAACUGCAUGAUCUCACUCACAGGUGCAAGCUAAAGAAGUUGAUAUCUCACUGGUCCCCAUAAACAUGUACAAUGAUCAUGCUUCAAUUAAAAUAUUAAUAAAGAAAGAAAAAGAAUAACUGUAGAAUAUGCUGGGAAUGCAACAUCCUGAGUUAGGGAGGGACUGGCCAGAAGAGUCGGGCUUUGUCCCAGUUCCUAGAAACAGGAUAUUCUUUCGUGCUUUAGUGCAGUGAAUCCUGUAGCCCUGGGACAUAAGACCGAGGGCAGGCGGCUUUCUGGGAUCCCUCAGCUGUGGUGUGAGUGGGGCACACAUGGAUAAGACUCAGCUCACCUGGGAAGCUUUGCUGAGGCUAGAGGGCUCCCAAUGAAUCCGAGGCUCCUGUUCUCCCUUGCUGCCUGUCUGUAACUGGUAUACCCACUUCCUGUGACAUAUGUGAGUGUCUCACCUGAGUCU
rnacentral:lncRNA from 10 species